CUCUCUCUCUCUCUCUUCCUCUCAGCAUCAUCAUCACCACCAAAUCGCCGCCAUGUUCAGACAAGCUUCUCGCCUCGUCUCCCGAUCUAUCACCGCCAAAUCGGCGACAAACCGUGCGUUUUCAACGGAAGUCCCGUCGACGAUCGAUUCGAGUUUCGUGGAGGCAUGGAAGAAAGUCGCACCGAACAUGGACCCGCCGCAGACUCCUUCUUCCUUCAUGAAGCCUCGUCCAUCGACUGCUUCCUCGAUUCCGACGAAGCUCACCGUCAAUUUCGUCCUCCCUUACGCAUCUGAGCUUUCCGGGAAAGAGGUCGGCUUUCAUUUUUCCUCGUUCGAUGUUCGCAUUUAGGUUUCUAGGGUUUGAUCUAUGACUCUGUGUGUUAUGGUUACAUAUUUGAUUGUUGUUUGAUUUCAUGAUAAGGUGGUUAAUUAGGUCUGAAGACUUUUGAUUUUUGGUUAGAUCUAACGGCGCUAAAGUUUAGGGUUUUGAUAGGCCAAAGCUGAAACUGGCGCAGUUGAUGUUUCGUUUAGUUUCUACAUAAUUGUUAAUAACAAGAUCAAGAACAAAAAAAAAAGCCUCACUUUUUAGUGAUUAAGAAUAACCUAAAUCUCCCUAAUUUCUCAGGUUUACCAUUUGUUGUCUCUGCAAAAUGUUGCUUGCUAUAAAUCCAUUAAAAUUUUAUUAAGAGUUUUGUUAUCUCUGCUCUGUUCAUAACCAAAUGAUCCUGGUGUGUUUUUUACGGUUUCUAAUACAAUGUGAUUGGCAAAUAAUGUUUGUUUCAUAUAUCUUGAAACUUUGAUGUUGACAAAUUAUAACUGCUGAUUUCUAAUGUGUUAAUUGGUUUUGUGAAGGUUAAUCUUUUCUCUUCUAUUGAUAUAUGAUGUGGUAUACAUAUAGACUGAAUCUCCAUGGCAAGUAGUAAUUUCUCAUUGGCUUAUUCUCAUAUGUUGGUGGUGCAUUCACUGUGAUAUCUCUUCUGUAGAAUAUACAUUCAGUACUGAAAGUUCUUAUCGUCCCUGACUUGCUUUCUGAUGCAUCCAUUGCUUAUAUCCGAGAACGUAAACCUAUUUCUUGAUUGGUUUGUUUUCUUGUAUAUAUUUAAUUAUAACUCAAAGCUUAUUGGCUUUUUCUCUUUUGUCUACUUCAAGGUCGACAUGGUCAUCAUUCCCGCGACAACAGGACAAAUGGGUGUUUUGCCUGGACACGUUCCAACAAUCGCUGAGCUCAAACCCGGUAUCAUGUCCGUCCACGAAGGUACUGACAUCAAGAAAUACUUUGUGAGCAGUGGAUUUGCAUUUCUCCACGCAAAUUCCGUUGCUGACAUUAUCGCGGUUGAGGCCGUGCCGCUUGAGAACAUCGACGCAAGCCAAGUCCAAAAGGGUUUAGCUGAGUUUACACAGAAACUUGCUUCUGCCACAACAGAUCUUGAGAAAGCAGAAGCACAGAUUGGUGUCGAAGUUCACAGUGCUAUGAACGCAGCUCUCUCGGGCUGAUGAUGAGUGAAAGUCUCUUUUUUACUACUACAAAUGAUGGAAUAAAUUAGAAAAUGAUUUUAUUUUUCCUUUUCGUAAUUGUGUUGGACUUUUUGGAAUAAAUGAUUUUGUUGAAGGCACAAACCAACAGAAAGUUAUUAUUCUUCUCGACUUAUGUUUGUUUUGAGAUUGAGAAACUAAGUUCCCGAAUUGAUUUAUGGUUUUCAUUUCCUAAAAUUCUUUUUUUCUCACUUUGGGCCAUUUUUGCAAUGUCACUUCAGAACGAUUAAAAAUUGUUGGUUUUUCUUGUUGAUUUUGAAACUCUCUCGAAGUGACAAUAUUAGUGUUUUACAGUGACCUAGAAAUAAUAUGAUUUUUAAAAUAUCGAACAACUCAUAUCAUGAUUAACAUAUCAUACUGUACGUAGGCUGGGACGGAUCCAGAUAUUCGGAAAAUUUAAUAUCCGGAUUUCGGAUAUCCGUCUCGAUAUUUUAUUACCCGCGGAUAUCCGGAUCCGUAAAAAUAAUUAAAAAUAAUAUUUUUUUUUAAAACUAAAAUUUUAAUAUAAUAUAUAAACCUGUUGGUACUGGUCGUGGAAGUUCAGUUGGGGGCCACCUUCCCCACCAACAAGCCACCCAGCAUAAUGUUGGAACUAUUGGCCCUAAUGUGAACUUCCCCCUUGAUAGUCCAAAUAGCCAGCCUUCACCUGGUGGUCCGCUAUCCCAACCUGGAUAUGUAAGUAUCGCCCUCAUCUCUUUUAAUUUUUUUCUUUCAUCUAGUAGUUUCUGAAGCAUUAGAGCUCGAUUGUUUUUGGUUGACUUUAAAUCAUCAUACGAUGUUGCCUUUUCAGGGAAGCCAAGCAUUCAGGGAUGGUUUUAUGGGCGGCAUUUCUCAGGUUGUCUUCUCGUUUUAUGUUACUUAGUGAUCAGGGGCAGUCUUUUCUACUUUUGUCUGUUAUUUAAUAUCUUCUAUGUCAAUACCACCAGGAUUUCUUAGGUGAUGAUUUCAAGAGCCAGGGAUCUCAUGUUCCUUACAACAUGGGCGACUAUUCUACACAGGUAGUUUCUCUUCUGCCUGCUUUAGUUAUUAGACAUGUAAAUACUUUGGAUAUAUGAUAGUAGGACUACGAUAAGAUGUCUUUGGAAAUGUAAAACCAAAAUUCCGAGGUUGGGCCAGAUAUAUAUAACCAUGUGUUGCAAAGUUGAUAGUUCUUGAAUUUCACAUAGGAAUUACUGACUGUUCAUGUUUUUUGUAUAUGUUCUUCGUUUCUGAGCCAUAUUUGUAUAUAAUUUCUUUGUAUGCCUCACAGGGAGGAUAUGCGGUUGAUUAUGCCACACAAGGAGCCCAUGGAGCUUUUCCUGGAAACUUUAUGAACCAAAAUUCUCAAGGGGGUUAUUCUCGUUUCAGUGGGAGUAAUGAUUUCAUGUCCCAGGUGUGUUUCACCUAGCCUUUCCUUUUAACACAGUUUUUUUUCCUUAAUUCCUAGACCUUCGUCUGAGUCCUCUAUUGUUGACACAGGAGUAUAUGGCGCAUGGAGCACAAGGUCUUUUCACCCAAGCUGGCUUUAUCGACUCAUCUCAGGAUGAUGGACAACAGAAUCCUUUUGGUGUGAACAAUCCUAAUCUUCAGUCUCAGGUUUGUCCUUAAUCCUAAUCCUUGAUAGUUCGUUUGCAUUAACGUUUACAAUUAACAAAAAAGGAGGAUUCUUAAGAUAGCGAAGGUUGUGUGUUUAUAUAGAGAGAAUUACACACUAAACAUUAACCCAAACUCAUACAAACAAUUGAGGCCUUUCGAGUUUGUGUUCACCAUAUUAAUCUUUGGUACUCAUGUUUCUUUUCAAAAGAUGCUAACGACUCUUCGUCUCACAGGGUCUCCCGAAUUCACUCUACUCGCAGCCUUUCUCACACUACACCCAGCCACUAAACCUUUCAGGCCCACAGCAAUCUCAACCUCCUAACCAAGGCUCACAAAACCCAAAACCUCCUCACAACGGCUAAAGAUGACACAUGCAGAAGCUGAAUGCAAACGGGUUUGUAAACCUUUUUUUUUGCAAAUUCAGCAGUUUGGUAUCAUGCUAUCACGGCUCCAAACAAACAUCUGGUGGCUUCUCGGGGUGCUUGCAAGUUACGUGCCUUUCUGGCUCGCUUAGCAACAGGUAAUGAUGAUGCAGAGAGACAUGUACCUAAGUAACCCGAGGAGAUUCUUGGUCCAUACAUCCUCUGGGCUUAUAUAAAUGUUUGGUUUUGCCGUGUAAUAUUAUAAUAUCAUCCUCUUAUUGUAGUUUAUAUCUGAAGCUACCCUUAGUUAAAAAUCGGUGUUGGUGUCUGGUGAUAUUGAUAUGAGUACUGCAAACUCUCUUGCCUUUAUUUAUUUUUUUCUGGAUAUUUCGCUUAAUGCGUGUCUGAAUUAUUGUUUCUGCUUCCGUGGUAUUUAUUAUAUGAUCAUCUAUGAGAUAUGUGCAAGUUUUGGUUCCAGAUAGUGUCCUAUGGGGAUUGUCCAAUCGGUUUUGGGUAUCGGACAUAUUAACACCGACUUUCUUAGGUUUGUUACGGUUUCAGGAAGUACCGCUCGUGGAACCAUCCAUACAAGCAUCGGAUUCUACCCCGGGUGUGAUCCCACAAAGUUUGGUGUUACAUUUUUUUUUUCUCUGUGUCUCGGAAGGAAUAUAUCAAAAUAAAAUGUAAGUUUUCACAGAAAAAACGGUAUAUUAUUUUCAUCAUAUUGUGCGUAUUUUUGGCUUUGGUGAAGGUUAUUAGUCCAGAAAGGACAAAGCCCAUUUGGGUUGGUUUUGGACACGAAAGGGAUUGUGCAGCAUUGGCAAAUAGUGGUUAACGUUCGUCUAUCUGGUCUGGUGUUCCUUGUGAGGACCGUAGUUGGGCCCAAAUAUCAUAAAGAAACACACGAAACACUCUCCGUUUUUGGUUUUGAUCCCAGACAGACAAGAACACUCUCUCAUGUAUGGCAAAUGCCCUCCCUCUUUAAAUCAAAUAACGGACAGGAAGCAGUUGCGGCCCUGGGUAUAAGCAUUAGAAACAUCUGAUUCCGGCCGUUGAUAAUUAACAAAAUUUUCAGCCUAUUUAUAAAAUAUGCCAGUAGGUUAGAUGAUCAAACUAGCUAACAAAUCCCUCCAUAAUAAAAUUUUGGGUUUCUAGUCUUUGUUUUUGUAGAGCUUUUUACUGCUGGGCCUGAGUAGAAAUCAAGAAACAUAAAUAGAUAGAAAUGUGAGAUGUCCAGGACUUUAUGCCUGCUCUCUCUCUCUCUCUUUCUCGAGUCACUCUCAAAAUCUGGUUCGGGUUAGGUUAUAGACAUUUUAUGUGGAACUCAAAAACUGAGAUAGGAUCAAUACUUUUAAAAAUCUAUGCAUUUCUUAUUUUCCAAAACCCAAACAAACAAACCAAACGAAUAUUUUAAUUUUACUGAAAGUAUUAUUUGUAUUUAAUUUUAAAAUAAUUAUAUAUAAAUAUAGUUUAUAAUUAAAACAAGUACAUUUAUAUAUUUUUUUCAGCUACUAGCCAAUUCUCGAUAUUUUUAGCAAAAUCGAACUGAAUUCUGUAGAAACCCUGUCUAAACCUGAAAGCACCGACAGUGCCGGCUCAAUAGGGAGUGCGGCCGGUGCGACCGCCCCGGGUCCGGUUCAAAUCUUACAAUAUUAGGGGCCCUAAUUAUUUAAUUAGCAUAUCUGAUUUAGAUUUAAACAGUAUUAAAACGAUGUAUCACAAUUUUUUCUAGUUAAAUUAUCAAAGAGAAUAUACAUGUUUGAUGCUCGAGUCGAAAUUUCAGGAAAUUUUUUUACCAACGUUAAAAAAUUAACUUACUAUAGGGGCUUUAAAAUUCUUUUUGCCCAAGGGCCCUUCUAUAUAUUAAGCCGGCCCUGAGCACCGAAAACCAUAAACUCGAACUGGAACCAAACUAUAAUGCCCUCUGCCUAAAUCAAACACUGAAAAUCUGAAACUUUGUAACCCAUUUGCUACUUGUGUUACAGGCUUCACGGUACACAGAUAUAUCCUAUUGAUUAAAUAGUGGGCUUUAAGACAAGGCCUUUCCAGUUUUUGUGGGCCGAAACUGAAAAUAAAAUGCUACACUUGCCCACCAGCGAACGUGAACAUCAGAGUCACAGAUAACAACACUUGAGAGAGUUAUCAGAAAGAGUUCCCUAUCGACACUCUCUCUCUCUCUCUCUUCCUCUCAGCAUCAUCAUCACCACCAAAUCGCCGCCAUGUUCAGACAAGCUUCUCGCCUCGUCUCCCGAUCUAUCACCGCCAAAUCGGCGACAAACCGUGCGUUUUCAACGGAAGUCCCGUCGACGAUCGAUUCGAGUUUCGUGGAGGCAUGGAAGAAAGUCGCACCGAACAUGGACCCGCCGCAGACUCCUUCUUCCUUCAUGAAGCCUCGUCCAUCGAC
rnacentral:lncRNA from 1 species